CUCUCAAACCCUACCAUGUCUUUCGCACUCUCCACCUCUUUGCCUCCUCAAACCCUAGCCACCUCUCUACCGUCGCCUCAAACCCUCUCCCUCUUUUGCCUCCACAAACGCUUUCCACCUCUCUUCCACCUCUAACGCUCUCCACUUCUCUUCCUUAUCAAACGCAUUCGACCUCCACCUCUAAUGCUCUCCACCUCUUUUCCUUCUCAAACGUAUUCAACAUCUCUGCCGCCUCAAACUCUCUCGGCGUCUCUUGCGACUCAAACCCUCUCCAGUUUUGUGCCGCAUAAAACCCUACCAUUUCAAUCUCAUAUCUUCUUCGAAUCGCACUCUCCUCUUCCUUCUCGUGGAUCUUUUAUUUCUGGUUUAGAGUGAUGUUUUGCUCUCAGAUUCAUGAGCACCGUCAAGAACAUCAAAAAGAUAGAUGAAAUGUGUCAAGAACACAAUAAAGAUGGAUGUACUAUUCCAAUAACACAAUAAAGAUGGAUGAACGGGUUGAGGAACACAAUAAAGGAGAUGGAUGAACUGUUCAAGAACGCAAUAAAGAACACGAUAAAGUUUUGAUGCUUAAUGUUGGUGUGAUAGGAAAGAAUUUUUUUUUUUUAGAUUAUUGGUGCUCUGAGAUGAAGUUGACGAGGAAAUGUGACAUAUUUUGAUAAUUUGAGGAGAAGGAAGACUUUUAGCAUGGAGUGGUGUUGGAUAAGUAAAGUUGAUUGUGAAACGGUAGAAGGUAUGGAUUUGCAAUCACACAUAAAGGAGCACAAGAACAUGACUAUGAAUAUGGUUAAGACAAUCAAAUUUUUAAUCAUCAUAGACUUUUAACUAUUGGUGCUCUUUUUCAUUUUAUGUUUUGACACAUAUUAGAGUAAUGUUCAGAAUUUUGAUCCAUUUAAUAUA